rnacentral:misc_RNA from 1 species
GAUGAAGAACGCAGCGAAAUGCGAUACGUAAUGUGAAUUGCAGAAUUCAGUGAAUUAUCGAAUCUUUGAACGUAUAUUGCGCUCUCUGGUAUUCCGGAGAGCAUGCUUGUUUGAGUAUCAGUAAACACCUCAACUUCCAUAUCUUUUUUGAAAUGGGAGUUGGACUUGAGUGAUCCCAACGCUUUUCCUCACCGAAAAGUGGCGGGUUACUUGAAAUGCAGGUGCAGCUGGACUUUUCUCUGAGCUAUAAGCAUAUCUAUUUAGUCUGCCUAAAAAACAGAUUAUUACCUUUGCUGCAGCUAACAUAAAGGAGAUUAGUUCUUGUGCUGACUGAUGCAGGAUUCACAAAGACAGCUUCGGCCGACUUUGUAAACUCGAUCUCAAAUCAAGUAAGACUACCCGCUGAACUUAAGCAUAUCAAUAAGCGGAGGA